UGGGGUAUGGGAAUCAUAUGU
rnacentral:piRNA from 1 species